CGGCCCGGGAGCAGACGGGGAGGUGAGCCUGGAGCUGGGAGUCUGACCCCAGUCUGACUCUGGGCUGGCCUCACUUCAGCUUUCCUGGUGAAAUUUCACAUCACUAAAGGCAGAGAUUAAAAAGUGAAGGGUGGAGAAGCAAAGUGAUUU